UGCGUAGGCGGCGGGGCAAGUCAGGUGUGAAAUCCCGGAGCUCAACUCCGGAACUGCAUUUGAUACUGCCUCGCUAGAGUACUGGAGAGGAGACUGGAAUUUACGGUGUAGCAGUGAAAUGCGUAGAGAUCGUAAGGAAGACCAGUGGCGAAGGCGAGUCUCUGGACAGUUACUGACGCUGAGGCACGAAGGCCAGGGGAGCAAACG
rnacentral:rRNA from 1 species